ACAAUAAUUGGUAAAAUGAAAAAUGUUGAUGGCAACAACUGGAUUCGUCGCCUUCAGUGAAGUAUUUGCAUAUCAUGACACAGCAACUGUUCAAUAUUAACUUGGCCACAAAUAUUGGUCAUGUACAUUUGUAAACGAAGUCACUAUAAAGUCAUACACCCUAAUACAUAGGAUCGUUUAAUGACUAAUCUUAAAUAACUCAGUUAUCAGUACAUUGGUACGUAUCAGUACAAUGUGUCGCUAAAAGAACAAAUUUAGUGACUCAUAGAUAAAGUAUUCAUCUUACUUACCAUAUUUAAAGAAGCUAAUGACUGUAUCCACUGAACUAUCAUUCAGAUUUGAUUUGCAUAUAAAGACAUCUAUGCUCAUAUUUUUGGACAAUUUUUCUUACAGAUCUGAUUUGCGUAUCGUCUUUUCGAUUCAUUUUUCGAACAAUUUUUCAAUAGAUUAGUGUGACAGCGUGUACUUAUUCAUAUAGAUCGCCAAAAUACAAUGAAACUGAUCUUACCAUAAAAGACCAAGGAAUUUUUAACGGAAAUGCAAGGUCAACUGUGAAAUUGCAACGAGAAAACUUCAAUUCAAUAAUAUCAAUGAUUUCUAGCGAGCGUCGUUAAUCUUUAUUGUUCUUGUUAAAAUUUUUGAAAACUUCCUAUUGCGACAAAGUAGAAUGUUUGUUAUUUCUACACAAACAGGCGAUAAAUCUAUUGAAAGAAAAUAUCAUUAAGAAUAUUAAAUUAUACUGACAAUAAAGUGAAACCGAAGAUGGACACGUCACAUUUGAAAGAAAUUAACAGGAUCAACAUUGAAGUGAAGACAAUCAUCUUUGACCUUGGUGGUAAAUCGUUAUACCACACCGCACAAAUGCAUGAGCGUAGUUGUUUCAUUGUUGUUACUUCUAUCUACUGAUUUUAAACUAGUUUUAGCAAAAGGUAAAGCCUUGAAUAUUGAAAAAUAAAAGUUUUUCCGGAUUUUUUUAUAAAUAA